CACGUAGGGGGCGAGCGUUGUCCGGAUUUAUUGGGCGUAAAGAGCUCGUAGGCGGCUCAGUAAGUCAGGCGUGAAAGCCCCGGGCUCAACCUGGGAACCGCGCUUGAGACUGGCACGCUCGAGUUCGGGAGAGGAUGGUGGAAUUCCCAGUGUAGAGGUGAAAUUCGUAGAUAUUGGGAAGAACACCGAUGGCGAAGGCAGCCAUCUGGACCGACACUGACGCUGAGGCGCGAAAGCGUGGGGAGCAAACAGG
rnacentral:rRNA from 1 species